CAGACUCAUACAAACCCCCGUCUCUGAGAAGUCCAGUCCUAGAAGGACCGAGUUACUGGGGCAAGACUCAUAUGGAGCAGGGUGAAGAACAAUACUUUGCUGCAACAAUCCAGUGAGAAGGCAAUCAUCUGUAAAGCAGGAAGAGAGCCUUCCCCAGGAGCUGAAUCUGCCAGCAUCUUGAUCUUGGACUUCCCAGCCUCCAGAACCACCAGAGAGAAAUGCCUGUUGUCUGAACCACCGUAUGUUACCCUGUUACAGCAGCCUGAGCUAAGAUGAUACUGGAGGCCCAGUUAAUCUACCUCAACAUGACCCUUUUGUAACACAGGCUGGACAAAGGCUGUGAAAACACUCAGUAUCUAGAGUUUUCCAAUGUGUGUGUCCUUCCCUAUACACUUCAUUUGCUUAUCCCCUUAUUCAUUCAACAAAGGAGUUCCUUUUCUUUUCUUUUCUUUUCUUUCCUUCCUUCCUUCCUUUCUUUCUUUCUUUUGACAGGGUUUCACCAUGUUGGCCAGGCUGAGCUUAACUCCUGACCCCAAGCGAUCCACCUGCCAAGGCCUCCCAAAGUGCUGGGAUUACAGGCGUGAGCCACUGUGCCUGGCCAAGGAGCUCUUAUUGUCCUCUCUGCACUGUGCUUGACCCCAGAGCCAGGACUAGGCUGGGGCCAAUGAGGCAUUGAGCAGACAAAGUUUAAGGAGAAACUCAUUUGCACAACCCUGACAGUGAGUGCCACCUGGCAUUGUCUGCCCUCCACCCCCUCCUGGCCCUUCCAGGCACAGAGGAAACAAAGAUUUUUUUUUUUUUAAGCCACUUUCUUCCUCAAGACACCCACAGGUUAAGAGGUCAGAAACAGGGCAUACCACACUGGCCUUUGGCACCUCAAUUGCUCACUUCACAAGAACACAAAAUGUCCCCUAAGAAGAGCAGCUGAGUAUAAUGGAAAAAGUUAAGUGUCCUCUUCUGACCUUUGAUGAUUCAAAGUUUAGAGUCAUUUUUAACACUAUUCAAAGGAAAUGUGACAGUCAUAUAAACUUGAUGCUACAUGUCAUUGAAUCACAGCUCUAAAGAAACCUACAGGCCGGGUGCGGUGGCUCACACCUGUAAUCCCCGCACUUUGGGAGGCCGAGGCGGGUGGAUCACGAGGUCAAGAGAUCGACAUGGUGAAACCCCCUCUCUACUAAAAAUACAAAAAAUUAGCC
rnacentral:lncRNA from 1 species